GGGGGAACUGAAACAUCUAAGUACCCCGAGGAAAAGAAAUCAACCGAGAUUCCCCCAGUAGCGGCGAGCGAACGGGGAGGAGCCCAGAGCCUGAAUCAGCAUGUGUGUUAGUGGAAGCGUCUGGAAAGGCGCGCGAUACAGGGUGACAGCCCCGUACACAAAAGCGCAUGUGUUGUGAGCUCGAUGAGUAGGGCGGGACACGUGGUAUCCUGUCUGAAUAUGGGGGGACCAUCCUCCAAGGCUAAAUACUCCUGACUGACCGAUAGUGAACCAGUACCGUGAGGGAAAGGCGAAAAGAACCCCGGCGAGGGGAGUGAAAAAGAACCUGAAACCGUGUACGUACAAGCAGUGGGAGCCCCACCACUAAGCCAGUGGUGAACUCCACAUACGCAUCCUUUGCUGAGGAUACGGUUAACGGAGCGAAAGCGACGUUCAACCGCAAAAGAAGCAGAGGGGGCUUAGUGGUGGGGUGACUGCGUACCUUUUGUAUAAUGGGUCAGCGACUUAUAUUCUGUAGCAAGGUUAACCGUAUAGGGGAGCCGUAGGGAAACCGAGUCUUAAC
rnacentral:rRNA from 1 species